ensembl:snRNA U6 U6 spliceosomal RNA
GUGCUCACUUCAGCACAUGUACUAAAAGUGGAAUGAUACAGAGAAGAUUAGCAUGGCCCUAUGCAAGGAUGACAUGCAAAUUCGUGAACCGUUCCACAAAAAA